rnacentral:lncRNA from 7 species
AUGUUCUCAUUUUUUCCCUUCCCUUCCCUUCCUUCCCUUCCCUUCCCUUCCCUUCCCUUCCCUUCCCUUCCCUUCCUUCCCUUCCCUUCCUUCCCUUCCCUUCUUCCCUUCCCUUCCCUUCCCUUCCCUUCCCUUCCCUUCUUCCUUCCCUUCCCUUCCCUUCCCUUCCCUUCCCUUCCCUUCCCUUCCCUUCCCUUCCUUCCCUUCCCUUCCCGCACUUUGCUGCGGAUCUCCCACCCCACAGCCCCACUCCCGGCCGCCAUCCCCGGCUGCGUCGCAACGGCGGCAGCGCGCCCCCACUCCCCGCACGCGCCUGAAGCCGACCCCGCGGCGACAGCGCAUGCGCGGCGUCGUCUCCGGAGCAACGCGGCGUCGCCGCGGAGUGACGUCAUCACGCUGCGACCCGAGGAGCGGCCGGGCGGCAGCGGGGCGGGGCGGCCCCGGGGCUCCGAGCGCCGCCUCAGCUUCUGCGACUCCCCUUGUCCCCCCUUGGAAUCGUGCCGAGGGAUCUGGAGACGUCCUAGAGAGGUUUGGGGGCAUCCAGGGGGUUCUGGACUCAUGCAGAAGAGUCUGGAGAUGUCCAAGGAGGAUCCAGGGAGUCCCCAGGUAGGUCCUGUGGGCCCCUGGAAGGGUCUGGCAGCUCCCACGAUGGGCCCAGGAGCUCUGAGGAGUCUCUGGGCUGAUCUGGAGAUGUCCCAGUAGAGUCUGCGAGGGUCCAGGGAGUCCUCGUGUGGGUCUGAGUGGUCAUCCAGAAGUGUCUGGGGGUGUCCCAGAGAGGACUUGGAGGGUCUGGGGGUCUUUAGGUGGGUUCAGAGGAUCUUGUCUUCUGGAAGG